GAUGAACGCUGGCGGCGUGCCUAAUACAUGCAAGUCGAGCGAACGGACGAGAAGCUUGCUUCUCUGAUGUUAGCGGCGGACGGGUGAGUAACACGUGGAUAACCUACCUAUAAGACUGGGAUAACUUCGGGAAACCGUAGCUAAUACCGGAUAAUAUUUUGAACCGCAUGGUUCAAAAGUGAAAGACGGUCUUGCUGUCACUUAUAGAUGGAUCCGCGCUGCAUUAGCUAGUUGGUAAGGUAACGGCUUACCAAGGCAACGAUGCAUAGCCGACCUGAGAGGGUGAUCGGACACACUGUAACAGAGACACGGAGCAGAUUCCUACGGGAGGCAGCAGUACGGACACUGCAGCCAUGGGCGAGAGCGGGAGGGAGCAACGUCGCGUGAGUGCUGAAGGUCUGCGGAUCCUAAAACGUUGCUAUUAUGGAAGAUCAGAUGUGUAAUUAACUGCGCACAUCUCGACGGUACCUACUCAGAAAGCAACGGCUAACUACGUG
rnacentral:rRNA from 1 species